CAUCAGGCUUAGAGAGAGAAGCACCGUCCUGUUCAACAAAUCUGCACAGUUUCUCCAAAUCUCCAUAAGCAGAAGCGGAGAAAACAUCGAUCACAGUAGGUGCGUUGCCAUUAGGACUUUGCUCCGGCUGCGNNNNNNNNCCGAUGACACUACCUCGAUCUCUGAAGAUGCCAUACGUAGAUUGACCAAUGCAUGCGGGAU
rnacentral:misc_RNA from 1 species